UGUCUUAAAAGUUGAGUUCAUAUAAAAUACAUUUAUACAAUUUGUUCUAUUGAUGUGAAAGCACUGUAUUGUUUAUGAAGUAAGCAUUGUUCCAAGGAUUUUUUUUUUUCCAUUUCCCUUCCUGGAUCCAAUUCUUUGCUUACGAUUCUCUGUUUCGUCAUGCAUAAAUUGUGCAAGGACCUGCCAUGGCUGUCUGCUUUAAUCCCAAACCUACAACCUAUAUGCCUGACAGACCUCCAGCCAUGGAAGCUUUAUGUUGUUGCUUUCUCUUUGGAUGACUGCUGCAACUACAACCCCUCUGUGAUAUGAUUCUGGGCUGAGAUCCUGCAUCAGCAAUAACUUAUAUUAUAUUGUUGAAGAAGGUGAUCUUGUUUGUCAUUUGCAGCCAUGGAAGCUUUAUGCUGUUGCUUUCUCUUUGGAUGACUGCCGCAACUACAACCCCUCUGUGAUAUGAUUCUUGGCUGAGAUCCUGCAUCAGCAAUAACUUAUAUUAUAUUAUAUAUUAUGCUGAUGGGAAUUAACAAAUCUGUAUUUUAAUGUGUAUCAAAAAGUGAAAAUGAAAAGAAGGCUUAGAGAGUCACAUGUUAAGCUAUCAACAACAAAGCUGUGGAUCAUGUGAUUGACCCAUUGAUCAUGAUAAAAGACGACUAAUAUAUAUAUGGAAAGGAACACUUGUUGACACCUUAAUGCCUAACUUUAGAUCCACAUACACCAUCCAAUCAUUUUAGACUGUAAAAGGGGGGCGGGGGGGGCAUAAAUGGCUUGAUGGCUUAACACUUUGUAGUAGGUGGCUCCAACACAAU